CACAAAUCUUCUUAAGUUACUAUAGAUUGAAGAAAUAUGGCAAUGAUUGAGCUGAAGAAAGUUCUUGUGAUCAUGUUCAUGAUUAUUAUUAUGCUAGUUGUAGUUCAACUAUGUGACACUACUCAAUCAAAAAUAGUUGAUGAAAGUUGUGCUAUAGAGCGUUUUGCUUGUCGUGCAGAGUGUCUUAUAACAUGUGCUGGUUUUGAUAAUUGCUUGGAAGGUUGUUUUGAGCAUUGUUUGAUGUAAUGAUUUAACAAGGUGCUCGCGGAAUGCAUAUGCUGACAUUGAUUGCUUGAUUCAUGUUGACGACUUGCAACAAUAUUAAAUAAUUAAUUUUUAUGUUAUGUGAAACUUCGUAUAAGAAAUUAAAUGCAAUUAAAUAAAUUAAUUUUAA